rnacentral:pre_miRNA from 1 species
UAGGGUGACCAACCUUCCCAUUUUGCCUGGGACUGAAGGACUUCCCAGGAUGCAGCACUUUUAGUUCCAGGCACAAUGGGAUGAGUUGGUUACCCUGCCUAAGA